rnacentral:rRNA from 1 species
GGACUACUGGGGUAUCUAAUCCUGUUUGCUCCCCACGCUUUCGUGCCUCAGUGUCAGGAAUUUCCCAGAAAGGCGCCUUCGCCGCCGGCCUUCCCCCAGAUAUCUGCGCAUUUCACCGCUACACCUGGAGUUCCCCUUUCCCCUGAAAUCCUCAAGUCACGCAGUAUAAGGCGCAAUUCCCCGGGUAAGCCGAGGGCUUUCACACCUUACUUACGAAACCACCUACGCACCCUUUAAGCCCAGUGACACCGAACAACGUUCGCCCCUCACGUAUUACCGCGGCUGCUGGCAC